rnacentral:rRNA from 1 species
CCCCACUGCUAUCGGGAUGGGACUAAGACAUGCUAGUCGUGCGUCUCCAAGCCAUGGCGGAGACGCGGCGCACAGCUCAGUAACACGUGGCUAACCUGCCCUUAGGACAGGGACAACCCCGGGAAACUGGGGCUAAUCCCCGAUAGGUAAGGAAUCCUGGAAUGGAUCUUUGCUGAAAGGGCGUCUGGACCAUGCUUCUUGACGUCGCCCAAGGAUGGAGCCGCGACCGAUCAGGUAGUUGGCGAGGCAACGGCUCACCAAGCCUAUAACCGGUACGGGCCGUGAGAGCGGGAGCCCGGAGAUGGGCACUGAGAUAAGGGCCCAGGCCCUACGGGGCGCAGCAGUUGCGAAAACUCCGCAAUGCACGAAAGUGUGACGGGGCUACCCCGAGUGCCGUCCGCUGAGGAUGGCUUUUCUCCGCUGUAAGGAGGCGGAGGAAUAAGGAGAGGGCAAGCCUGGUGUCAGCCGCCGCGGUAAUACCAGCUCUCCGAGUGGUGGGGAUGUUUAUUGGGCCUAAAGCAUUCGUAGCCUGCUUGGCAAGUCCUCCGUUAAAUCCAACGAUUCAAUCGUUGGGCUGCGGGGGAUACUGUCCAGCUAGGGGGCGGGAGAGGCCGACGGUAUCCCCGGGGUAGGGGUGAAAUCCUAUAAUCCCGGGAGGACCACCAGUGGCGAAGGCUGUCGGCUAGAACGCGCUCGACGGUGAGGGAUGAAAGCUGGGGGAGCGAACCGGAUUAGAUACCCGGGUAGUCCCAGCUGUAAACGAUGCAGGCUAGGUGUUGGCGCGGCUACGUGCCGCUCCAGUGCCGCAGGGAAGCCGUUAGGCCUGCCGCCUGGGAAGUACGGCCGCAAGGCUGAAACUUAAAGGAAUUGGCGGGGGAGCACCACAAGGUGUGAAGCUUGCGGUU